CACAUGAAAAAAAGAUGCCCAGGAGAAUUCAAAAGGCACCAGUACCAGUUACUCUUCAUUGACAGGACAGAGCACUUUGCCCAUAGGGAGGAAGGGGAAGUGCCCCAGCUCGCUGUACAUGGCCUGGCUGGAGACCCUGUCCCAGGACCUCAGACCUCCAGUCAUCCUGAUCCGAGGAAACCAGGAAAACGUGCUCACCGUUUACUGCCAGUAACUCCAGGCUUUGCCAUCCCUGUCCACAGCUCUGAGUGUGUGGGAUGAGUUGGAACUCGAUUGCCUCUGGUCCACAGGGAUAAGACUCAUGUUCUGUUGCACUUUAAGUGACAGCAUCUGAUGAUCUCACCGAAAAAGAUGGUAGAUUUCCAAAUCUGGCUGGACUCCACUUCCAUGGGACACAUUCCCUGGGUCUUGUUUUUAUGGGCUAGAGAAAUAGCAGAUGGAGCUGCAAGGAAAACUCUCUAAAGGAUCCUAUUCCUUUUAAAGGAUUUCUUUUGAUUUCGAUGACCAUUAAUUAAGAGUUCAGUCUUUGAUUUGUAUGCAAAUUGGAGUCCGAAUCCUGGGCGUGAAUCUUGACCGUUUCUACAGACCUUCCUGGGUGAAAGUUCCUAAACCAUGCCCUGCUUCCUCCAAUAGGAGAAUGGGAGCCUCACCUGUAGGACCUACAGGCUCUCUAAGGAAUGCAGGGCUCUCUCUGAGCCUCCACAGCCAGGCAAAUAUAUAUAUAUAUAUAUUUUUUUUUGAGAUGGAGUUUUUUCUCUUGUUGCCUAGGCUAGGGUGUAAUGGCACGAU
rnacentral:sRNA from 1 species